rnacentral:rRNA from 1 species
AGCGAACGCUGGCGGCAGGCCUAACACAUGCAAGUCGAACGAACCUUUCGGGGUUAGUGGCGGACGGGUGAGUAACACGUGGGAACGUGCCUUUAGGUUCGGAAUAACUCAGGGAAACUUGUGCUAAUACCGAAUGUGCCCUUCGGGGGAAAGAUUUAUCGCCUUUAGAGCGGCCCGCGUCUGAUUAGCUAGUUGGUUGAGGUAAUGGCUCACCAAGGCGACGAUCAGUAGCUGGUCUGAGAGGAUGAUCAGCCACAUUGGGACUGAGACACGGCCCAAACUCCUACGGGAGGCAGCAGUGGGGAAUCUUGCGCAAUGGGCGAAAGCCUGACGAAGCCAUGCCGCGUGAAUGAUGAAGGUCUUAGGAUUGUAAAAUUCUUUCACCGGGGACGAUAAUGACGGUACCCGGAGAAGAAGCCCCGGCUAACUUCGUG